rnacentral:rRNA from 1 species
AUGAACGCUAGCUACAGGCUUAACACAUGCAAGUCGAGGGGUAGCAUGGUCUUAGCUUGCUAAGGCCGAUGGCGACCGGCGCACGGGUGAGUAACACGUAUCCAACCUGCCGUCUACUCUUGGACAGCCUUCUGAAAGGAAGAUUAAUACAAGAUGGCAUCAUGAGUCCGCAUGUUCACAUGAUUAAAGGUAUUCCGGUAGACGAUGGGGAUGCGUUCCAUUAGAUAGUAGGCGGGGUAACGGCCCACCUAGUCUUCGAUGGAUAGGGGUUCUGAGAGGAAGGUCCCCCACAUUGGAACUGAGACACGGUCCAAACUCCUACGGGAGGCAGCAGUGAGGAAUAUUGGUCAAUGGGCGAGAGCCUGAACCAGCCAAGUAGCGUGAAGGAUGACUGCCCUAUGGGUUGUAAACUUCUUUUAUAAAGGAAUAAAGUCGGGUAUGCAUACCCGUUUGCAUGUACUUUAUGAAUAAGGAUCGGCUAACUCCGUGCCAGCAGCCGCGGUAAUACGGAGGAUCCGAGCGUUAUCCGGAUUUAUUGGGUUUAAAGGGAGCGUAGAUGGAUGUUUAAGUCAGUUGUGAAAGUUUGCGGCUCAACCGUAAAAUUGCAGUUGAUACUGGAUAUCUUGAGUGCAGUUGAGGCAGGCGGAAUUCGUGGUGUAGCGGUGAAAUGCUUAGAUAUCACGAAGAACUCCGAUUGCGAAGGCAGCCUGCUAAGCUGCAACUGACAUUGAGGCUCGAAAGUGUGGGUAUCAAACAGGAUUAGAUACCCUGGUAGUCCACACGGUAAACGAUGAAUACUCGCUGUUUGCGAUAUACAGCAAGCGGCCAAGCGAAAGCGUUAAGUAUUCCACCUGGGGAGUACGCCGGCAACGGUGAAACUCAAAGGAAUUGACGGGGGCCCGCACAAGCGGAGGAACAUGUGGUUUAAUUCGAUGAUACGCGAGGAACCUUACCCGGGCUUAAAUUGCAGAUGAAUUACGGUGAAAGCCGUAAGCCGCAAGGCAUCUGUGAAGGUGCUGCAUGGUUGUCGUCAGCUCGUGCCGUGAGGUGUCGGCUUAAGUGCCAUAACGAGCGCAACCCUUGUUGUCAGUUACUAACAGGUUCCGCUGAGGACUCUGACAAGACUGCCAUCGUAAGAUGUGAGGAAGGUGGGGAUGACGUCAAAUCAGCACGGCCCUUACGUCCGGGGCUACACACGUGUUACAAUGGGGGGUCCAGAGGGCCGCUACCACGCGAGUGGAUGCCAAUCCCCAAAACCUCUCUCAGUUCGGACUGGAGUCUGCAACCCGACUCCACGAAGCUGGAUUCGCUAGUAAUCGCGCAUCAGCCACGGCGCGGUGAAUACGUUCCCGGGCCUUGUACACACCGCCCGUCAAGCCAUGGGAGCCGGGGGUACCUGAAGUGCGUAACCGCGAGGAGCGCCCUAGGGUAAAACUGGUG